AUUGAAAAAGCAAAACAGGAAAGUCCUUGCCCACCCCAGCAGCUGGAACACACAAAAUCAAGCAUUAAAAAAACACUAGACUCUUGGCAGCAUGUGGGUAAAAGAAAAGACACCCACAGUCAAGCCAAAACACAAAGCACCAGCAAAAGAAAGAAAUAUCAUGCUCUAAAAAAAAACCAGAGAUCCAAAACCGCAACAACCAGAUCCCUAAAUCUGAGAAGUCAUUCCCCAAAGGUCUCUAGCCAAAAAAACCUUUGCCGCCUCUGGUAAUUCCUCCACCCAAAACCUGUCUUCUGAUAACGAAAACCCCUCUUUUGCUAUGGGCCACCCUAUUUGCUUGCCUAUCAACAUGAUGGAAGGAGAUAUGCUGAAAAGAACACGCCUUGAUCUUUAUCUCUUCAAUCCUCAAUGAAGAACCGGUAAUACAGAGGAACUGAAACAAUGCGAAUACGCGAUUGGAAGGAACGUAGCCGCAUACGUUCAUGUUGCAGUCCAUUUUUUCUGCAGAUGAACCAGCAGGAGAAUCGUGGCCGUGAAUGUCAGCAUGGUCGACGUCACAGAGAAGAAGAGGAAUGUGAAGCCCAGCGAGAGAUCCCGAUGCACGGUGUUGAGAAAAUCUUGGUAAUCCAUCGAUGAAGUGAGGAUGGAGAGGAAGAUCACCACCUACGUCAAGGAGCUCGCCAGCCCCGCUACGUCCAUCACCGUGAAAAACGAGUACAGAGGUCUUUCCAGGAGGAUGGGGCGUCCAUCUGCUGCCAAUCCAUUCCAAUGUCAUCGAUGAUCAAAAACCUUUGUUUCUUUAUAGUGUUUAUUUUUAUCGAGAAGUGACGAGAUUUUUUUUUUUUGAAAGUGCUUACUCUCAUGGACGCCUCCUGGGGUGGUGUACGCGGCGGCGAAGACAACGGUAGCCACGAGCACGGCAACAGUGGAGCAUGAAUGGGAAAUGUUCUUCACCCAUUCUUGCGCCGAUUUAAGCUGCUCUUGGUGCAUGUCCUUGAACAACUGAUCUGCUGUCAUGUGUUUUUUGUUGCGGUGCAUGGUGAAAUGCGCCGGUAUUUUAUUUUUCACGGCCUGCUACAUUUUCAUGCAUGAAUUACUAAAGAAAAUUUAACGCGGUAUAACAACGAUGGCUAAAUUUCAAAUCGAAUUUUUCAAAUCCAAAAAUUCAACUUUUCAAAACUCGAAUGUAUAUAAAAAUUAAAAAUAUUAAAAUUUAUCUCUUUUUUUUUUCAAUUUUUUAUAAUUCUUUUAAUAAUUAUUAAUAUUUUUAAUAAUUUCUAAAUUCUUUAUAUUUUGAACUCAUUUAGAAUGAAUGUAGAUGAAAGAUUUUCCAGAUUCAUUUCAAAUGUAAUUUUUAUUAAUUAUUUUAUAAUUUUUAAUUUUUUAAAAAUAUUUAUUAAUCAUUUUAAAAAAAAAAAAUUUUUGUUGAGUGCUUCUAUGUGACAUAUCAUCUCCUAGUGCCUACCGUCAACGACUUCAACAUCUUUAACUGUGAAAAACUAACGGUUUCUAGUUAAUUGCUUUUAGUCAUAGGGUGUAUAAUUUUUGUUUUACUAAUGGAACAUUUAGUUUUUGGCAAAUAUUGUAUGGUACUAACAUAUCAUAUAAAACAAAUUGGUUUCAAGUUGUAUAGAGAAUUUUUUCUAUUAUUGAUAAUUUUGUAAUUACAAUUUAUUCCAUCAAAAUGACAAAAAAAGUUACGAUAUUAUUACUACAUAAUUAAAAUUUUUAAAAUUUAUGAAUUAUAAUGAUUAUACUCAAAUUCAAAUUCAGGGAUAAGUGUGUUCUGAAACUAUAAAGGAUAAACGUAAAUGACAACCACCCUCAAGUGGGUAAGCUUCUUUUAGCUUUUAAAAAUUAAACAUGCACAUCUGAAAAAACUCCCACAAAUGAAACAUUAUCUUUUUUGGUGAAUGUUCACUAAGUUUUCAUUGAUGUGUAAAAGCCUUAAUACAAUGGAACAUAAGCCCAAACCAAUACAUAUCAUAGAAAAGGAAAACCAUAACAAUAAAUGUGCCACUUUCGAACUUAUCAUUCAAAUGGAGAAAUGUCAAUUGUUACCCCCCCCCAAAAAAAAUUCAAUCAAAACACGAAUGUCGCAAACACAAGCCAUAUGGCCUAUUGGAUCCGUCGACGGUAGUCUUGUUCCACCAGUGGAACCAACGGAGCCUCAUAGAUCGGAAAAACCCGUCAGACCAAGCCUAAACAAACACGAGCCACAACAGACUCGAGAAAACCAAGUCAUCACCGACUGGAAAAGUUGUAUUAUUUCGAAAAAGGAAUCUCGCACCAUGGUUGAAGAGAAA